GGAGCGGAGCGAAUCACAAACUUUCUCCAAGCCCCCUGAUCCUUUGCAAACAGAGGGAGGUAUCGGCAUGCCCGACCCCGUUCACGACCGUCUGCCUGCAUCGGCCUCUGGGUUGGGAACCAGAUGUUUGAAAUGUGUGGGAGGCGGUGAAAUUUAACACUUUAAAUAUGUCUUUUUUUUCUUCUUUUUUUGUAAUCCUCCGUGUGUCGAGAAUCAGUCUGAGUCAGCAUUUGAGCGGCAGAGCAACAGGGUUCUCCUCUCCUGGUCGUAUCCCAUAAUUUCACUGUGACUCCCCUCAUGCCUUACAUCACUGCUGGCUGCUAACCACAAACAAAUAACCUCAUAUCCAGGAAGUGCACCAUGGCAACAGGCCGUCCUAUUCAUCACAUUGUGUUCAUUCAUCUUCUGGAUUUACUGACUGGGGGAGAUUUAGAGGCGACAGGAAAUCAAGUGAGAGGGAAAAUAAGUAAAUAAUGUGAUGGCGCAUUCGGAGGCAUCUCAACAUUUCAUUCGUGAGCUGAACUAUAAAUUGCAAAACUAUUCGGAUUGCUUCUUCUACUGCUAUCACAACAAACCAGCAGAGGGCAGUACAUAUCUAGUCUCUAGAGGUUUGGCCUUUGUGAAGGACAAUGGGAAAGGCACAUGAUCCCAGUAAAAGUUUCCACAGCAUGUCCCUUAUUUCAGCAUGUGAUUUUGUACAGCAGACAAGUACGUUUUGCAAACCGGCUUGUGCAAACGAUGUUGGCACGACUUUAAAAAGAGCCGUGGAAAAAUAUCGGAGCAUCUCCCUCCAGGGCCUACAAAGACAUGUGAAUGCUUUCUUCACGUUUCAAGGUCACUCAAAAACUACGCUGUUUUACUCAGGACUAACUACCGUAAGAUCAAAGCCUGAAAUCAACUGCAAAUAUUUAUUGUUGCUGAAGUUUUCUGCAAUAAAACUAUUAGUGGAAAUGUGAGAUAUAUUUUAAAGAACCUUUAGGCUAUAAGUGACAAGAUAUACAAAACCACAAUUUAGAAUUGCAAAAUGAAGAGAACUACAAAAACCUAUAACUGAUUUACAUAUGUUUAUAGAGGCCAGAGUUGAAAUCU